GGAUUUAUUUUUCUAUUUACUACUGGUGGAUUAACUGGUAUUGUUUUAUCCAAUUUAUCCUUAGAUAUUAUACUUCAUGUUACAUAUUAUGUAGUUGCACAUUUCCAUUAUGUUUUAUCCAUAGGAGCUGUUUUUGCUCUAUUUGCAGUUGUAAAUCAAGAUCGG